GGGGGGGGGGGGGGGGGGGGCGGAUGCAUGGGGGUCGGGGGAGGGGACGGGGAGCGGGCGGCUCUGAUGUUAGCGGGGGACGGGGGAGUAGCGCGUGGAUAACCUACCUAUCAGACGGGGAUAACUUCGGGCAACCGGAGCUAAUACCGGAGAAUAUUUUGAACCGCAUGGUUACAAAGUGAAAGACGGUCUUGCUGGCACUGAUAGAUGGAUCCGCGCUGCAUUAGCUAGUUGGUAAGGUAACGGCUUACCAAGGCAACGAUGCAUAGCCGACCUGAGAGGGUGAUCGGCCACACUGGAACUGAGACACGGUCCAGACUCCUACGGGAGGCAGCAGUAGGGAAUCUUCCACAAUGGGCGAAAGCCUGACGGAGCAACGCCGCGUGAGUGAUGAAGGUCUUCGGAUCGUAAAACUCUGUUAUUAGGGAAGAACAUAUGUGUAAGUAACUGUGCACAUCUUGACGGUACCUAAUCAGAAAGCCACGGCUAACUACGUG
rnacentral:rRNA from 1 species